UGGCUUUCGAUUGUUACUGUGGGAACUGGAGGUAACAGUCUACAGCCAUGGUCGCCCCGCAGCACGCCCACGCGC
rnacentral:miRNA from 1 species